UACGGAGGGGGCUAGCGUUGUUCGGAAUUACUGGGCGUAAAGCGCACGUAGGCGGCUUUGUAAGUUAGAGGUGAAAGCCCGGGGCUCAACCCCGGAACUGCCUUUAAGACUGCAUCGCUUGAAUCCAGGAGAGGUGAGUGGAAUUCCGAGUGUAGAGGUGAAAUUCGUAGAUAUUCGGAAGAACACCAGUGGCGAAGGCGACUGACUGGACAAGUAUUGACGCUGAGGUGCGAAAGCGUGGGGAGCAAACAGG
rnacentral:rRNA from 1 species